GCGUCAAAGCGUACGUCUUACAAAUCCCAAACACAAAAACAACCCCCUAACAACUCACGGAGCAACUCUAUUAAAAAAUAGAAGAACUAAUGCUAAAACUAGUAAUAAGAACACACUCUCCCCAACACACCCCUCAAUCAGAAAUAGAUAAACUACUGAAAAUUAACAAGCUACAAAAAGAAACAAACCAACAUAUCAAGCAAAAAUUCACACCUCUUUGUGACACCAACACAGGAGUGUUUUAAGGACAGAUUAAAAGCCCAACAAGGAAUUCAGCUAAUAGACUCCAACUGUUUACCAAAAACAUAGCCUUUAGCACUACAAGUAUUAAAGGUCUCGCCUGCCCAGUGAUUCUUUCAACGGCCGCGGUAUCCUAACCGUGCAAAGGUAGCGUAAUCAUUUGUCUCCUAAAUAGAGACUUGUAUGAACGGCUAACUGAGAGCCUAACUGUCUCCUAAGGCCAAUCAAUGAAACUGAUCUCCCAGUACAAAAGCUGGAAUAUACACAUAAGACGAGAAGACCCUGUGGAGCUUAAAAUACACACUAUUUCUUUAAUCCAAAUAAACUACGGAAACAACACCCACAAAACAUAGUGAAAUCUUUUUAGUUGGGGCGACUGCGGAAUAAAAAAAAACUUCCAUGACAAGGGACACCCCUACCAAGGCCCACAAGCCAAAAUAAUUUUCUUUUGACCCAGACAUCUGAUCAAC
rnacentral:rRNA from 1 species